UCAGAACAAACUUCCUUUGCUUGAGUUGAACUCCUUCCCCACGUUUCCAAAGUUUCAAAUAUAUAAACCCUUAGGAAAAAGAUGCAGCCUCUCAGAAUGUGGAAUCAUGAGAAGGUGAGUGUUGAACAAGAUGGAGAAGCAGGGUACGUGCUUUACUAACUCAUGCAUUACAGUCCGUUAACAAAGUUAGAGUCUAGCUUUAUGAGUUUAUGAGUUCGGAAUAAGUAUGAUCUUAUUAUAUAUAUGUGUGCAUUUUAAAAAAUUUCGCAUAUGCAUACAUUGUUCGAGUCGAAAACAAGGCUAAGUUGAACUCACGUGAUUUGUCCUAGAUCCGCCUCUGUUUGUUAGUCGGUUCCACAAGUUUUAUGGGGUUAACCUACUACCUAAUAAAUACUAGGAGUACUAUAUGCUACCCCAAAAAGGAGAAUAGUGUAACUCGCUAUGUGUGUGAUUCACCUGGUAGUUUGGUUGGGAAACAAAUUAUCUCAGGAUUAAUUAUCUCGGGAUUGUUAUCCUAUCCUUCCAUAAAAAAAAACUUCAAUCUUGAGAUAAUUGAUCCCCGGAUUAGUUAUACCAUAAUUUUAUCUCAAUCAAUAUGAAUAAAUUCAUCUCAAAUUUAAUUCCAAAAUUAAUUAUCCCUUAUCCCUCGUACCAAACGAGCCCACGUGUUAAAUGAGUUAGUUCUUCAUGUGCCCAUCUUCCCCAUCAUGACCACUCAACCUUAAUUAUUAUAUGUACGAUUUGCUGUGCCAAAGCAUUUGCGGUGUGCGGAGCACUUUUUCCCAGCAUUGACAGGUAACUAAUUUUGUUCAUUUUUCUGAUUCUAACAAUAGCGUUAAAUUAUUUAUGCUUUGAUCUGUUCUUCUCCUUGCUUGAGAAAGAAUUUCAGAGCUUUUAAUGAUCAUAUAUAUAAUUGUGAAGAGAAGUGAUUAUGUCCAUGGGGAUGAAAGAUGCAAUAUUAAUGUCAACAGUAUAACAAAAUAUGCUUCAACCCGGCCUGUUGUCAAUUUGUGUAUUGUUUAAAAUAUUAAUCCACUAAUGUUGGAGUUAGUAAAUGAUUUACAAAGUAGGAAUUAUGCAUAAAAUUAGGGAAUAUGACUAUUUGAUAAUUUAAACUUGGUGGGAACUAGAAUCUGCACCAGCCACGUUGAUGGCAUGACAAAUAUGUAUAAUUAUCAAAUAAUAAUGCAAAAAAUUAGAAUGAAAAGAAAUGUUUAUAUAUGUCUUAAGUGGAUGAUACAAAUUACAAGACAAACCACAAAUAUAUUUAUUCUCUUAUGUAAAUUCAGAAUCAAAGCACAGUAAAACUUCAGUACCUGUAAUAUUUUUUUCUUCUCUUAUGCAAAUUUGAUUUUUAUAGAGACAUGAGAUAGAUUCAGAACCUUUUCACACAGCCUAAAUCAAAAUUACAGAUUUAGAAAUUGCCAGAAAAAAAUAUUACUAGUACAUAAUUUACACUUUAUUCGAAUUUGUAAUAUUUAUACACGUAGAUAUAGAGUAUAGAUACACACAUUGUUGACGUACGGAAGUGACAUUAUUCUAAUAAUAUAGUUGGAGAAUUUUGACAUUUUAAAGCUAAUAUAUAUACCAUAAAGCUUAAAAUUAUUUCCUUAAUUUUCAAACGAGUUGCAAUAUGUUUUGACCCACAAAAUUUAAAAGGGAUUUAUAGUUGCAAUGCCAUAAAGCUACGCGUAGAAAGGGAUUUAGGAUGGGUUUUAUGAGUUCAACUGAGGUCAUUGUUGUAUGCCAACAAAAUUUGAAAUAUACACAUAUAACAAAGUUACAUUCUAAAUCUACGAAUUUGCCUCGUAUGUGACAAUCCAUUUCAAGUACGUCUUCUUAUCUUCUUAAUUAGAACAAUGUAGUAAGCUUUAUAAAUUGCAUAUGAAUUAUCCUUCAAUUUCCUUUGAGUUUUUUAAUGGAAUAGUUCAUUGGUCUUCUUCAGAUUUAACCACAAUUUUUGAGAAGUAUCAUGACCAGCCCAAAUAUUUUUAAUCAAUUUUUUUUUUAAUAAACCAUAUAUUUUAUUUUUAAAGUGAAUAUUUUGUGAUAAUAUCGGAAAAAUUCCAUAGUUGAGCAUCUUAAAUAGACUUUGGCCCUAACUCAAUCUCAAAAGCUAGCUCAUGAGGUGAGGAUUGCCAAGCCAUAUAAGGAGAUCAAGUCCCCUAUCCCUUAGCCGAUGCGGGUAGAGCUGUCAAUAUGGCGGGGCUGGGCUAACUCAGUCCAGCCCGCGUGGGCUUUAGCAAUUGACGAGUUGGGCUGGGCUAGCCCACCAUUUUGAUAGGCCUUUUAAUGGUCAGCCCAUCCUAGCCUUAUGUGGGCUACGGGCCCCCACUGGCUGACCCAUUAUUUUUUAAAAUAUAAUUUUAUGUUUUUUUCUAAACUAAAAAAGAUAAAUAUUUAAAAGUUAAAAAAGUCUUAUCGGUUCUAAUAUAUCAUAAUAAAAGUUAAUAAAUGCUUAAAAAAAGAUAAAUAUUUUAAAAUAACUUUUUAUAUGGUUCUAAUAUAUCACAAUAAACACUAAAAAAAAUAAAAGACAAAACUAUAUUUCAUUCGCUAAAAAUCAAAUUUCAAAACAAACUUUUCAAGAGAACGUCUAUGACGCUUAUGAGAUAUCCAACACAUCAUCUUCAUCAAACACAUUUAAGUCCGCUUGUGAGAAGGUUGUCUUAACAUCUUCACUUUCAUCUACAUCUAUAAUUCGUAUGCAAUAUUAAUUAGUUAAAUAUUAAGAAUAAUUAAAUUUUUAAAAGUAAUUAAUGUUUUAAGACUUUGAUCUUUUAAUAUGAUGAGUUUAAUAAACUUUAAGCUUGGGAUACUCUUCUUGUUAUUUUUUGUGUCAUAUCCUUUUUAUAUUUUAAAUACGUAUUUUUAUUAGGCCCACGUGCCGGCCCAGCCCGGCCUUAGUCAAGCCUCACGGGCCACUGGCUUACUCGGGCUGGGCUUAAAAGUCUCGUUUUUAAAUGGGUUCCAAAAAUUCUAGCCCAACCCUGCUAAAUCACGGGCUGAGCUUGGCUGGCCCGACGGGCGAAGCCCAUAUUAACGGCUCUAGAUGCGGGAGACUCAACACCCCUGCAUGCUCAGGCAUGCCAACUGAAGCGUGGACAAUAUAAUAUGAGGGCUUGGUGAAUCAAAGAAUUGAAAUGGGUCGAUUCGUCCAUGGAAUGACACAGUAUAGUAGUUCUAAAAAAAAUAGCCAAAAAAUAUAUAUUUGUUUUUUGUAUAUAUAUAUAAAUUAUACAAAUUUUAUACACUUUUUGGCUACCGAAUGUGCAUAAUUUCUAGCGCGGACUAAAAGUGAAAAAAACCCAAGAAUUAAGUAAGGUUUCAACUGGAUUUGAACUUGUGUUUUCAUCGGACGAGAACAUUUCACUACAUGCCAGACUUCAUAAUCAAAUUCUUUCUUCCUCUUUGUGUUUCAAACAUUUCUAAUUCUUACUUGAUCUUCAUUACUGGAGAUAGCACUAAAUUGUACUCUAUUCAUAUGUAUCCGUUGUGUUUGAUCUUGUAUUAAAGUUACAUAUACCAAAACUCAAGAGAAUAGAUCAUCAUCUUCAAGUUCUAUAUCUGUUUUUGAAAGAGAAUUUUGUUUUUUGUUCAGAUGUUAUCAGUUUUGGGACAAGUACCAGGCCAGAUUACUCUCAAUCAUAAUACAUUUAUACAAGAACUCGCUCACACACAACUUUUGUGCCUAAGUAUUGAUUGUAAAAGUUGUAUAAAUGAAGAUAUUCUUGCAAAUGACAGAGUUGUUUCGCAAUAGGCAACCUUAGUCAGCGAGUUUAGCUAAUACAGAGGCAGAUCAACUAAUUUUUGUCAAAAUAAUAUGUUAAGCAUUUAAUAAUGCAUGGUCAAGUACUAGCAACUGGUAUUGCCAUCCAAAGACGGAUCCAAAAUUUAAAUUUAAAGGUUCACCUUUUAAGAUUUUUAGCACUUAACUUAUUGUACUAUUA
rnacentral:lncRNA from 1 species